rnacentral:tRNA from 1 species
GGACGUUUAGCGCAGCUGGUUAGCGCACUUCCUUCACACGGAAGGGGUCACAGGUUCGAGUCCUGUAACGUCCA